GAUGCCUCCGCGGCUUGCCGAGCCCUCCGUGUGUAAACGCGGCGAGGAGGAGGAGCGCGGCCCAGGAGCGGCCCGUCAAUCACAGCCACCCAGGCUUCUCGCCACGCCCCUUUCCACGCCUCUUGCCGAUUUCCUGGUCCCUCGAAGGAGUCAACUCCAGCCACUAGGGGGAGCGGGACCGGCUUGUAAGAGUCAUUAAUACUGGACUGGAGAGAUGGCUCAACCAUUAAAGGCUAGGCACCCAACCCCAAAUGAGAUUCCUGAAUGCUGUUAGGCGGUAGGAACCCUAUUCCAAACCAGUCAGGGUUCCGGAUUCCCUUCUGAUCACUAGAACCCCUCCAGGCGAAAGCAUUUAUUCAUCUUCUAUGUUAAGCAUUCAAAUGCAACUUCUGCAAGGAUGUAAGCCCGGGAGAAAAACAAUGUUGUUUGUUUUACAGAAGCUUGACGAUGCUUAUGUUGUUUUCAGCAUACACAUAUCCAUGUACUAUGGGAUCUAAUGAAGAUGUCUACAAGAAGUAUACAUUAUGUCAAUGUAUACUUGUCAUAAUGGUUAUUCUCAAUGUCUCUAGGAUGUCAGUAUUUCCCACAAACCAGAUAGAAAUGAAAAUAUCCAACAGCAAAUCACACAUUUACAGUGGCUGUACAAGUGCUGGAAAGAAUCAACAAAUGGGAAAGAAUUGUUCCCAUUAGAGUCACUCCCAUGAAAAACACUCUGAUUUUUGUAAGAAUUUCAAUACCACAAGACUGCGGAGUCCACAAAAAGACCUUGGCUGACAGAGGCAAAGCACAGUUAGAGCAAUUGAAAGAAGCAACUAUGAAGCAUCUGAGCUGAGCAACUCAGAGCACCUAGUGGUAAUUAAUAAUGGUAUCAAAAAUGAAAUAAACCGGCAGUUUCUUGCACACAGGAGAUACUGUGAUAACAGCAAGUUAUUCCUCGUGAAUUCCCCUCUAAAUUUGGAUUGAUAUCUACGUGUCAUUUCCAGGGAAAUUCUGAUAGAAAAAGAAAAACAAAUCAAACUUUCAUUGAAUUUAGAUCCUGGGUUUUACUCUCGAUGAAAAGGAAUGCCACAGAGGUUCUCAACACAAGUUGUCUUAAAUACAAGAUAAUAAUAUGGGCAACAGCAUAGACCUACAUUAAUCAUAGUAGAGUCAAGAAACCUAACAUAGAGGUGGAUCCAGUGUGAGAAUUAGAAUCUCCUAGUCCUAUGCCAUUGACCAUUAUUUCAAAGGCAAUAUGUCAAAUAGAUAGCAAUGUCUGUGAAUAAUGCAUUAUGUAGCCCUAGAUACAGAAAUUCACUGACAUACUUUAGGAAUGAAUGCAUUAGGCAUUUACUUUAUUUCCUAUUUUUGAACUGUUUAUAUCAUUUAUGUAACUAGAAAAGUAAGUAAUUGUGACAAGUAAUAGAAAUUAGUUGUCAUAAAACUUCCAUUUAGUUAAAAUAUUUUUAUAAAGAUGAAUUUAAAAUAAGAACAGUGUUCACCUAGAUUUUUUUUAUAAUUUCUUUGGUGGUGGUGGUACAACUGUUAACUUCAGUAGUAUUGUCAACUUCACUUAUUUCAGACUUGUCUUCUUACUUUUCAUUCAUUAAAGUAAAACCUUAAAUAACUACUACUGUGCCCUGUCUGCAAACAUUAAAAUCAGGGUGCAUGUGCUGUCUUUGGAGCAUAUGCCUGCCAAGAAUGCAUGAAACAUUUAUUAGCCUCACCACAGAUAGAGGUGUCCUUGUUUACAUAUUUGCAAAUUUGUAAUGCAUGCCUGGAACCAGAUUGCAAAAAAUGGUAAUGCCUAUGCAAGUACCUUGAUUAAUUUCAAAUCUUCAGUAGACACUUGUGAAUACUUACCUCAUGUGGUAAUGUUAGUCCAUGACUAUUUGUCAUUUAUGAUAAUUUAUACUGAUCAUAUGUUCGAGGGAUGAAUGCUAAAUAAAGUUAUUGAUCAUAAUAUAAUUCACUAUGGAAAAGUUAAUAAACUGUGUUUCAAGAGCCAGUAGCAACUUGACAGAUAGUCCUGAAAUAUCCUGUCUUCAUUUUCACCCAUUCCUCAGCCAUGCUG